rnacentral:rRNA from 1 species
UACGGGGGGGGCAAGCGUUGUUCGGAAUUACUGGGCGUAAAGGGCUCGUAGGUGGCCAACUAAGUCAUACGUGAAAUCCCUCGGCUUAACCGGGGAACUGCGUCUGAUACUGGAUGGCUUGAGUUCGGGAGGGGGAUGCGGAAUUCCAGGUGUAGCGGUGAAAUGCGUAGAUAUCUGGAGGAACACCGGUGGCGAAGGCGGCAUCCUGGACCGAUACUGACGCUGAGGAGCGAAAGCCAGGGGAGCAAACGGG